rnacentral:rRNA from 1 species
CCUACGGGCGGCAGCAGUGGGGAAUAUUGGACAAUGGGCGAAAGCCUGAUCCAGCCAUGCCGCGUGUGUGAAGAAGGCCUUCGGGUUGUAAAGCACUUUCAGUGGGGAAGAAAGCCUUGGGGCUAAUACCCUCGAGGAAGGACAUCACCCACAGAAGAAGCACCGGCUAACUCCGUGCCAGCAGCCGCGGUAAUACGGAGGGUGCGAGCGUUAAUCGGAAUUACUGGGCGUAAAGCGCGCGUAGGCGGUCUGAUAAGCCGGUUGUGAAAGCCCCGGGCUCAACCUGGGAACGGCAUCCGGAACUGUCAGGCUAGGGUGCAGGAGAGGAAGGUAGAAUUCCCGGUGUAGCGGUGAAAUGCGUAGAGAUCGGGAGGAAUACCAGUGGCGAAGGCGGCCCUCUGGACUAACACUGACGCUGAGGUGCGAAAGCGUGGGUAGCAAACAGGAAUAGAUACCCGAGUAGUC